AGAUGCUGCCUGCCCUCCGACGAGGCCCCUGCUGUACGUCUGGGUGUGCUGUGUGUGCUCAGCAACCUGGUGUAAUCCCGGGAGCUUCCCGGGGCCUCGGGGCGGGGACCCCUGUGUGACCGAACAGACAGUGGCCGCAGCCCCUGCUGUCAGGAUGUAGGCUUUUCAGGCACGUGUUCCGUUUCACCGGGAAAGUUCCAGAAGCUGCUGUCCUCUUCAGCCGUGGCUGGCUGAAAUUCCCAAGGGAACGGGGAUGCUGUGGGGCGUCCCGUGUACGCGCUGCUUCCAGGCCGGACCCCUAGGACUCUGGGCGGAAGGGUCUCUCUUGCCAUGUGACCUCGUCACCUGCGUGACUCAGUCUGUCCGCAUUCUGGCUUGUUGAAGGACGUUCCCGUGCGUCAGGUCAGCGGGCUCCUCUCACGAUGGGGCCACGACUGUCCUCGCAAUCUCCAGCGUGUUGGAAAGGCAUCUGUCACGACAUGAGGACACUCAAGGAGCCCCAUGGCGAGGUCCAUGUAGUGAGGAACUCAACCCUUCUUAACAGCAGCCAGGA